rnacentral:ncRNA from 1 species
ACAGGGCAAAGCCGUUGAAAAGCGGCGACGCAAAGCUGUGAGUCUACGGCGGUGAAUCUGCUACGAUUGUCAAGCUGCAA